UGGCGGCCUUAGCGCGGUGGUCCCACCUGACCCCAUGCCGAACUCAGAAGUGAAACGCCGUAGUGCCGAUGGUAGUGUGGGGUCUCCCCAUGCGAGAGUAGGGAACUGCCAGGCA
rnacentral:rRNA from 1 species